GAUUCGAGCACUUACCUCGUGACCCAUAGGAAUAUACACUAUCUGUACCUCCAUUCUUCCCCUCUUGAGUUAUUAAUGAUCAAAGUCUGCACUUGGGGCACACGAUCUCGGUUUUCUGUGUUUCUUCAGCAGGAUCCCAUGUACUGGCGAUCCACUUUAGUUUCCACUGCCUUCCAUUGCCAAGCUGCUUAUUUAGGAUCCUCAGAGGAGGGGAGAUAUUUAAAAAGAAAGAAGGGAGAAGGAGUGGGAUAACACGAUUCGGACAACAUUGGAAGGCACACUGGUGCAGAUAAUGAGAGUGGUAUGUGUAAUAAUUCGAAAACAGGCUCAGCUCUAUUGAAAACAGAGAAAUUGAAUCCUUUGAUGUGGAAAUGAGCUAAAAGGGAAAGGAAAAGGUGUGAAUGUAAACUCUGGGCUUUUUUUCUGUUUUCUGUUGUGUGUGUGUGUGUGUGUGUGUGUGUGUUUUAAGCCUGCGAAUCCCCCAGGUGCAUGGUACAGCAUGCUGCAUAAAGGGACACCCGUUGUGCAGCAGAACCAGGUUUCCCUCCCUUUGUGCUGACUCAGGCAGCUGCAGCCAAGGCAGUCGGCAGUGUAAGAAAUGGAACCGUUUCUCUUUUUCCUGUUUCCUCAUUUUUUUCCUAAAAGGCACAAAGUUACAAAAGAGGCUUCUGGAAGUGGAGCAGACAGGAAAAGCACCCAAUUUUGCCCGCUCUGCUGGGGGAUGAACGGAAACAAUGGUGCUACUCUUCAAAAGUCUCUCAGACCUACGUAUAGUCUGAAACCAGAGUGUUCUGAAACAACAGGACAUGUAUGAUUUAGAAAAAGCUUCAAAACACUAUAUGGAAACUGUCAAAGCAAUGGUUAAUGAUGAUUUGUAUCUGAUAGGGAUGUGUUUAAUUGCCCAUUCUGUGUGUGGGUGUGUACAUACACAUGCAUGUACAACAUUUGGGAAUUUGGGGUAACUAACAUCUAUUUCUAGACCUUUCACAACCUCUCUCCAAGGUUAG
rnacentral:lncRNA from 12 species